GGUUACAAUACACUAAAUACUUUUGGUGUUCAAUGCUAUACCCUCUAAAAACAAAAUCUUCAUUUAUUUGAAGACACAAUUCUCUGUACGGGCAAUUGCCAUGACUUUAUUUUUGAAUAUUUCUGUGUUCAUGUGGUAGGGAAAACAUUGUUGUAUACUACAAAUUCCCUGUUUUGCUUUUAGGUUGGAGACUACAUAAGACUUUGACAGUUGGCGGGAAACCAUCAUCAACUGGAGAGAUGCCGGUAGAGGAAUGUCUGCGACUAAGUCAAGGGCUACUGGAUAAGGGUUGUUGAUGGCAAAACAGGUUGGAGACUACAUAAGACUUUGACAGUUGGCGGGAAACCAUCAUCAACUGGAGAGAUGCCGGUAAAAAGAUGGCCAUAAAACAGUGACCGCUGAUUCGCAUUGAGUUCUUUCUUACAUAUUGGAUGACCUAUGUUUUUAAUUGUUUAAAUCAUUGCGGCUUGGAAUGCUCUUUAAGAAAAGGUAUGGUUAUGGGGGUGUCUACGCGCAAAAGUUUGACUUUAUUUUUUGUUAAAGUUAUUGCUUUUACAUUGAAUUUGUGCAGGAAAUCUUUUGGUAUGUUGUGACCU